rnacentral:lncRNA from 1 species
UCACUCUCCAUUUCUUGGUUCCAGGGUACUACUGUAUUGCAUUACUGUCUUUGGUCUUUUUCAAUUGCAAGGAGUUUCCCAACCCAGAGGUUUGAUCCAGGACACUUUUGGAUAAAAAUAGCAGCUUCAGUUGUUUUGAGAGGCACUGUAUGCCCUCUGGCUUUAGAACACAUAUUCCGGUGCUCAAAGUGGAAUUCCAGAGAAUUGCCAACCUCAGCCCUGGCUCUGUGCUAGAGGCUGUCAGUCAUCCGGGAGGACAGGACCAGGGUGUCAGUGGGGCUGCACUGUAUCCUAACGCCAAACAGCUGCACAGUGGGUAAGUACAUUAAUAGGCAAAGCAAUAAGAAUUGGAAAUACAAAGACUGAUUGUGGAAGCAAUUGCCAGGGGAGGUGAGGAAGACCCAGGAUGGAGAGCUGGAUCUAGGUACCUGGGGAAAUAGCUCAAGCAAAAACAGGAAGGCAGACAAAGAGGGCAUGCUCAGAAGACAGUUUGGUGAGUCUGGAUGACAAGUCACACCUGCGCCAUGUAGGAAGGACUUGAGGAGCAGGAUAAGGCAUUUGGAUUUGAUACUGCAGUGCAUGAAGACCCACUGAAACUUUGUUCUUUGAAAACAGAUGUAAUUUAUAUACCAUAAAAUUCACUCAUUUUAAGUGUGCGAUUCAGUGAUGUCUAGUAAACUUACUGAGUUGCGCAAUCAUCGCCAUGAUCGUUUUAGAACAUCCUCAUCACUCCAACAAGAUACCUUGUGCCUAUUUGCAGUAAUCCCCGUACCCAUCCCCAGCCCCAGGCAAUCACUAUUUUGCUUUCUAUCUCUGUAG